CUCAUCACGCACAGUCAAACGUGAUGCAGCCCUCCACCUCGAUGAAAGACGUGACAGUGACUCAUGACGCACAGUCAAACCUGAUUCAGCCCUCUACCUCAACGACAGGUGUGAGAGAGACUCAUCACGCACAGUCAAACGUGAUGCAGCCCUCCACCUCAAAGACAAGUGUGACAGUGACUCAUCACGCACAAUCAAACGUGAUGCAGCCCUCCACCUCAACGACAGUGACUCAUCACGCACAGUCAAACGUGAUGCAGCCCUCUACCUCAACGACAAGUGUGACAGUGACUCAUCAUGCACAGUCAAACGUGAUGGAGCCCUCCACCUCAAUGGAGUCCAACUUCAUGGCUGGGGACAAAGGUUUAUCAACGGUGGAGAUGCUCAAGCUGCUUGAGAUGUCUCCUCCCCCCACGCCACAGACUCUGCCGCCCAUCUCUGAAGCAGUUGAAAGUCAAACAACUGAGCCAGACUACCUUACCUGGCUGGAUGACUCAAACACAGUGUCUUUUAUAGAUAUACUUGAGUCUCCUCCCCCACGCCACAGACUCAGCAUCACUCAGCAUCACUCUGCACCGAUUCUGCAUCGAUGUACUCCCCCCUUGCACUGGAUGACAACCAAACUACGGUGUCCAAACUCUUGGCCGGGAUUGAAUAUCCACCUAUGGCAGAGCUGCUUGAGCUGCUAAGUGGCUGAGUCUUGUUUUUGUGAAGGGGCAAAAGGGGAAGAGGGAGAGGGACAGGAGCAAGGCCUCAAAAUGACUGAAGCAUCUGCAUCGACAUCUGGAGAGGUCACAUCGCAAGCGAAGACGAUGUGUGUGAAGCUAGGUUACAUAAGUGUGACAGUGGCUUCUCACACACAGUCAAACGUGAUGCGGCCCUCCACCUCAACGACAGAUGUGACAGUGGCUUCUCACGCACAGUCAAACGUUAUGGAGCCUCAAUGGAGUCCAACGUCAUGGCUGGGGACAGAGAUUUAUCAACGCUGGCGAAUGUUCGAGCUGCUUUAGAUGAUUCCUGUCCCCACGCCACAGACUCAGCUGCCCAUCUCUGAAGCAGUUGAAAGUCAAACAACUGAGCCCGACUACUUUGCCUGGCUGGAAGACUCAAUGGUGGGAGAUUUUCCUCAUCCGAAUCGAGGGUCUAAAUACAGAGAAUGUCGUAUGCUGACUAUGUUUUGUGGUAUUUCAAUAUACAGCAAAUAAAACAAAGAAAACAAA